GUCAGGGAAGCGGCCGCAACAGAUCGAUUCCCGGCGUUGCAGGAAGAGGCGACGACGGCGCCGCAGCGGCAGGGGAGGACGGCAGGCGAGAGGAGGGUGGGGUGGAGGCGACGGCGCAGCGUGCUGCGUGAGGGAGGGAGGGCCGCCGGUCGCCGGCUGCCAGACCGAAUCCUACGAGUCGACGGGAUUGAGCAUACUUUUUGGCAACGUAUCCUUGUGCUUAAAGGGUACGCAUAUUUUAAACCUGGGACAUUUAUAUCGCAUCCAACGGUAGCAGCUGUGAGCGGAAUUAGAGUCGGGCAUUUCGUUCCGCUUCGCCGCGGCCGCCGCCGCCGCCUCCGCCUCCGUGUCGCCGCCGCCCCGCAGAACCCUAAAGGCCGCCGCCACCAUGCGCCGCCUCCCGACCCUCCCCCGGCCCGCGGCCGCCGUCGCCUCGACAUCCACCCCGGACAUCGUCGCGGAGCUCGGCCGCGUCCUCUCCACGCGCCGCUGGAACAAGGGCAGCGCCUACAAGCGGCUGUCCCCCUCCGUGACGGCCGCGCACGUGGCCGACCUCUUCCGCGCCCCGGUGUCCCCUCUCGACCCGGCCACCGCUCUGGCCUUCUUCGAGUGGGUCGCGCGCCGCCCCGGGUUCCGCCACACCGCCGCCUCCCACGCCGCGCUGCUCCAGCUCCUCGCCCGCCGCCGCGCGCCCGCCAACUACGACAAGCUCGUCCUCUCCAUGAUUAGCUGCUCCGGCACCGCAGAGGACGUGCGCGAGGCCGUCGACGCAAUUCAGGCAAUCCGUCGAGUGGGUGGUAAGCGACUCGUGCUGUCCCCAAAGUGCUACAACUUGGCGCUCAGGUCGCUGCUGCGAUUCGACAUGACGGAGUAUAUGGGGAAGCUGUACUCGCACCUCGUGCAGGAGGGAUUGUUGCCAGACACGGUGACUUACAACACUAUGAUCAUGGCAUACUGCAAGAAGGGUAGUCUCGCCAUAGCACACCGGUAUUUCUGCUUGUUGAGGGAGUCUGGGAUGCAGAUGGAUACAUACACAUGUAAUGCACUGUUGUUGGGGUACUGCCGAACAAGUGACUUGAGAAAGGCUUGCUGGCUACUCAUGAUGAUGCCGCUGAUGGGUUGCAGGAGGAACGAGUACUCCUACACCAUUUUGAUUCAGGGGCUCUAUGAAGCACGGUGUGUAAGGGAGGCACUUGUGCUUGUGUUCAUGAUGGUACAAGAUGGGUGCUCCCUGAAUCUGCACAUGUAUACACUCUUGAUAAAAGGUCUUUGUAAGGAGGGCAGGAUUCAUGAUGCCAGGGGGUUGCUUGAUGAAAUGCCUUUGAGAGGGGUGGUACCAAGUGUUUGGACUUAUAAUGCAAUGAUUGAUGGGUAUUGUAAGUCAGGAAGGAUGAAGGAUGCAUUGGGGAUUAAAGCACUGAUGGAACAAAAUGGGUGUAAUCCAGAUGACUGGACAUACAACAGUCUGAUUUAUGGCCUAUGUGGUGGGAAGCUAGACGAAGCCGAAGAAUUGCUGAAUGGCGCUAUUGCAAGGGGCUUCACACCUACAGUUAUCACAUUCACUAACCUGAUUAAUGGGUAUUGCAAGGCUGAAAGGAUUGAUGAUGCACUCAGGGUAAAGAGUAAUAUGAUAUCAAGCAAUUGCAAGCUUGAUUUACAGGCAUAUGGAGUGUUGAUUAAUGUCCUCAUCAAGAAGUGUAGAUUAAAAGAGGCUAAAGAGACGCUGAAUGAGAUGUUUGCAAAUGGUUUAGCUCCUAAUGUUGUCAUUUACACUUCUAUAAUUGAUGGGUAUUGCAAGGUUGGGAUGGUUGGUGCUGCACUAGAGGUCUUCAAAUUGAUGGAACAUGAAGGCUGCCAUCCAAAUGCCUGGACUUAUGGUUCUUUGAUAUAUGGGUUAAUUCAGGAUAAAAAGCUUCAUAAGGCAAUGGCUUUAAUAACUAAAAUGCAAGAGGAUGGGAUAACUCCUGGUGUUAUCGCUUAUACUACUCUGAUUCAAGGCCAGUGCAAAAAACAUGAAUUUGAUAAUGCUUUCAGGUUAUUUGAAAUGAUGGAAAAGAAUGGCUUGACACCUGAUGAGCAAGCGUACAAUGUCCUAACUGAUGCACUAUGCAAGUCUGGAAGAGCUGAAGAAGCUUAUUCAUUUCUUGUCAGGAAGGGAGUCGUCCUCACAAAGGUAACAUAUACAUCUUUAGUUGAUGGUUUUAGCAAGGCAGGCAAUACUGACUUUGCUGCCGUCCUUAUAGAGAAGAUGGUCAAUGAGGGUUGUAAGGCAGAUUUGUACACAUAUAGUGUAUUGUUGCAGGCUUUAUGUAAACAAAAAAAACUGAAUGAAGCUUUGUCUAUACUGGAUCAGAUGACCGUAAGUGGAGUCAAGUGUAACAUUGUUGCUUAUACAAUAAUUAUCAGUGAAAUGAUCAAAGAAGGGAAGCAUGACCAUGCUAAAAGCUUGUUCAAUGAAAUGAUUUCAUCAGGACAUAAGCCUAGUGCAACCACAUAUACUGUAUUCAUUAGCUCGUACUGCAAGAUAGGUCAAAUAGAGGAGGCUGAGCAUCUAAUUGGGGAAAUGGAAAGAGACGGUGUCACACCUGAUGUGGUAACCUAUCAUAUAUUCAUUAAUGGUUGUGGUCAUAUGGGAUACAUGGAUCGUGCAUUUUCUACUCUGAAGCGCAUGGUGGAUGCAUCAUGUGAGCCAAAUUGCUGGACUUAUUGGCUUUUGCUCAAACAUUUUCUAAAAAUGAGUUUGAUCAAUGCUCACUAUAUAGACACAUCUGGCAUGUGGAACUGGAUUGAACUGAACACAGUUUGGCAGCUUCUUGAAAGGAUGAUGAAGCAUGGUUUAAAUCCUACAGUAGUGACAUACAGUUCUAUCAUUGCAGGAUUCUGCAAAGCAACACGACUAGAAGAAGCAUGUGUGCUUCUUGAUCAUAUGCUUGGAAAAGCUAUAUCUCCCAAUGAAGAGAUAUACACAAUGCUUAUCAAGUGUUGUUGUGAUAUCAAGCUCUUUGGAAAGGAUGUGUCAUUUGUUACCGACAUGAUAGAAUUUGGGUUUCAGCCUCAGCUUGAGUCCUACCACUACCUUAUUGUAGGCCUCUGUGAUGAGGGGGACUAUGACAGGGCUAAAUCACUGUUCUGUGACUUACUUGGGAUGGACUAUAAUCAUAAUGAAGUUGCAUGGAAAAUUUUGAAUGAUGGUUUGCUCAAAGCUGGCCAUGUGGAUUUUUGUUCACAGUUGCUGGCUGCUAUGGAUAAUAGACACUGUCGGAUUGACUCUGAGUCAUAUUCAAUGUUGACUGAUAGCAUUCGUGAGGCUUCUGGCAGUGUGGUCAGCGAACUCAGAGGAGAAGCUGCCUGACCGAUGUGCAAGUGUCUUUGGAGUUUCGUCAGAAUCAAUGCAGUGUUCCUAUGAUUCCCGAGGAAACAGUUUCCUAACAAUCCUCUUGAUGAUGCAGAGAAGCCUUUAUGAACAUGGAGGUCUUCAGGCAGAAGGUAUCUUCCGAAUAAACGCAGAAAAUAGCCAGGAAGAAUUUUGUGAGAGACCAAUUAAAUAAUGGAAUUGUUCCUGAUGGUGUUGAUGUCCACUGUUUGGCAGGUCUAAUCAAAGCCUGGUUCAGAGAAAUGCCGAGGGGGGUACUGGACUCUAUCCCACCUGAACAGGUGAUGCAAUGCCAAUCUGAAGAGGACUGUGCUUGGGUAUCGAAAUGUCUUCCACUAGCUGAAGCAGCUUUGCUUGACUGGGCUGUUAAUCUGAUGGAUGAUGUAGUCCAGGAAGAACAGAUAAACAAGAUGAAUGAUCGCAAUAUUGCUAUGGUUUUUGUGCCAAAUACGACUUAGAUGGCAGAUCCUUUGACUGCACUGAUGUAUGCAGUCCAAGUGAUGAAUUUUCUCAAGAUGCUGGUACAAAAGACCCUCAAGGAUAGAGAGGAGUCCACUCCAGAGGAUGUUUUGCUGCCACAGAAGGACCCAUCUGAUGAAAAUGGGCAUCAGAAACCCAGCGUGACACUUGAUUCUCUCCUUGAGGAUGGAUCCAGGCGCCCUUCAUUUGCCAAGGAAGAGCCCCUUCUGAACAGUCCUGCCCACAGCACUGAUGACAAGUCUAAUGAAAGUAAAAACCACUUUAGGAGUCACUGCUGCUUUCGCUGCCCAGGCAACGAGUGUGGACGACUCCACUAGUGGCUUACAACCUUCAGCUGCUAUCACUUUAAGGCACGAACUGCUUGCCUUCUUAACAGAAUAAAUUAUUUCAUCCUCUAUAUGUCAUCUUCUUUAAUAUACCAACUUAAUUAACAGAAUAAAUUAUUUCAUCGUCGCACGAA